rnacentral:lncRNA from 1 species
UAUUUUUCACAAUGAUUUUUAUAUUUUUAAUUUUAUAAGAUAUGUAAAUUAUUUAUUUGCACUAAUUUAUAUAUUUGUGCUUAACUUAAUUUAAAAAAAUCAAUCUAUAAGUAACAAAACUUCAAAAUUAUUGCAUAAAAGCAUAAAGCAUAAUAAAUUUUUUUAAAGUUAUAAUAUAACUGUUAUCAUAUCAGCAUGAUAAACUCAAACACAACAAUAACAACGUCAUAAACCCAAACAAAACAAAGUCAUAAACUCAAACAUAACAAAGAUUCAAACAUAUCAAAGUCUAAGAAAUAACAAGUUUUAGAAAACAUAGUGAACAUAGCAGACUGGAACAUGACAGUCAGGCCUUCCAUCUGCAAACAUAAACACACACAAAGGGGCCCACAUUCAAUAACUGUAACGUCUCGUAUGAGACAACGUCAAUAUGAAAACAGAACCAAACUUACAAUACAAAUGGGAGAGUAACCAAAAAUACACAGUGGAACAUUGUAACGUUUCCUAUGAGACUCUCACCUCUCAAUAUGAAAACAGAACCACAAACACA